AAUCAACGCUGGCGGCGUGCCUCAGACAUGCAAGUCGAACGAGAACCUCCCUUCGGGGAGGAGACAGUGGCGCACGGGUGAGUAACACGUGGGUAAUUUACCUUUGGGUGGGGAACAACAGCCGGAAACGGCUGCUAAUACCGCAUAAUGCAGCGGCUCGACAUCGAGACAGUUGUUAAAGCGGGGGAGUCGCAAGACCUCGCGCCUGAAGAGAAGCCUGCGGCGGAUUAGCUAGUUGGUAGGGUAAUGGCCUACCAAGGCGACGAUCUGUAACCGGCCUGAGAGGGCGGUCGGUCACACUGACACUGACAUACGGGUCAGACUCC
rnacentral:rRNA from 1 species